rnacentral:sRNA from 1 species
CAGAGGUUGCAGUGAGCUGAGAUGACGCCACUGCACUCCAGCGUGGCAACAGAGUGAGACUCCGUCUCAAAAAAAAAAAAAAAAGUGCCCCCCCUGAUGUGCCCCUGGCCCGGUCCCCAGAGCACGAACUUCCAGGAGCCGGUGCAGCCGCUGACGAAGCAGCAGGUGGCGCAGAUGCAGCUGAAGUACUACAACUCCGACGUGCACCGCGCCGCCUUUGUGCUGCCCGAGUUUGCCCGCAAGGUGGGUGGCCUGCGGGGCUGGGUGGUGGGACCCAGGGACCCAGAGCGCCCUCCUGACUGGCCUCAUGUCCCUCUAGGCCCUGAAUGAUGUGAGCUGAGCCCAGGCGCCACCACUGAUGCCACCCAGGACCUUGGACCUUGGAGCCUGCGGGGUGCCUCGGCCCCUCCAGCCCCGGGCCCGACCUCCUGCUGGCUCUCGCCCACCAACCAAGUGUUACAAGCCCCAGAAUGCUGCCCGGCCUGCCCUGCUGGGCGGACUGUCUGUGUGUCUGUCUCUCUGGCGUUCCACCUCCAAGCCUAUACCAGCUGUGUACAGCGCCAUCUCUCUGCCUUCUGUUGCCCCUCACUCACCAAACACGUGUAUUUAUAGCAAAGAUUG